ACAGUGUUUAACGCUCAUUUCUAUGGAAGAGGCAGACCAUAGACAAACCGUGCUAAACUUUGUGAGUCAUCUUGCUGGUGGGAGGUAGAGAAACCGUGUCCCUGUCCCUUGCCUUGUGAAUUUUGAUGCCUUGUCAAGGAGGAACUGGCAUAGCAUCUUUCUUGCUAUACCAGCUGAAAAUGGUCAACAAAUGGAAAAGUAGGAAGUGAGCAGUGAUGAGCAGCAGGUCUUGGAAGGGUGGCUGAGAUGUCAGCCAACUGACUAAGG